UUUCUGACAGUCACAGGACUCAUUAGAGGAUAAAUGGAAGAAAUGUUGAAGAGAGGCCCAGACUGCCAUCAGUUGUUAGGGAAGCAUCCAAAACGAAUGAUGAACAAGCAGAGGAGAUGCUUAGCCUCCCACAAUGCAAUGGAGGAGAGGGAAGUAGUUCUUGUGAACAAACGUGUGAUGAACAAGAGCCCCAGGAUGACCUGCCCUCAUCCCUGAGACAAGAAGCAGGAGCACAGCAACCCACACGUGAAAAGAAGUGUUCCUGUGUCAUGUGUUCCCCAACAUAUGUGCCAGAAGACCUGGAAGCAAGGAUGGGAAGCAGCCAAGGAGGUGGCAGAAUAGCUGUUUUCCAGGCAGCUUUCAAGAGAAAGAAAAUGAAAAAGAACCCAGGACGCACUGCUAAGAUCAGGGGUAAGACAGCUUCUGUGGGUCUUUCCCUUCACCUUUGUCUGGUCUAAGAAGACGCAGAAAAGAAAAUGCCAAUUUUAGUGCUGAGUUGCUUCCCGUGACGUGUGGUAACUUGAAGGGAGUGUUACACAAGGAUAAAUUCAAACAAGGGAUAUCUGUGAAGUCCAUACAGUGUCAGAAUGGAAACUGGUUCACACCCUCGGAAUUUGAAAUGAUGGGAGGCUAUGGAAAGUCAAAGAACUGGAAACUGAGCCUGCGCUGCCAUAAUUGGCCCCUGAAACUCCUAAUCCAGAGAAAUUUUCUACCCAAUCCUCCACGGAUACAUCGCAAAAGAAAAGAGCAGAGAACACAGAACUUGCAUCGUUCCCCAGCUGACCCUAGUAACACCAUGGAGUUGCAUCUUCUGUAGGAUACAGUCCUUAGGAAGUCAACCGAGUCUUCCAGAAUCUGAGAUACUGCAGAGGGAGAUGGCUCCCCAGGAACAGUUGAAGUGUGAGUAUGUUCUCUUGAGAGUCUAUUGCUGUUCUGAGAGCUCCUUUUUUUCCAAGAUGCCAUAUUAUUAUUAUUUUAGAGAGAUGACUGUGGGUGUGCAAGAGCCUAUGUGGUUUUACAUAAUCAAGAAAAAUCUGAGUGACCAGGCUUACUGCCAAGUAGAAGACUUUGUGCAAGACAUGAGGCUCAUCUUCCGGAAUCACAAAAUCACGUUCAAGAACCCUAAGUUUGGCUAAACGGGACUUAGACUGGAGUCCAAGUUUGAGAAGAGUUUCAAGGAAGUGUUUGCUAUUCAGGAAACAAAUGAAAAGAGUUGA
rnacentral:lncRNA from 1 species